UACAGAGGGGGCGAGCGUUGUUCGGAAUUACUGGGCGUAAAGGGCGCGUAGGCGGCCAACUAAGUCAGACGUGAAAUCCCUCGGCUCAACCGGGGAACUGCGUCUGAUACUGGAUGGCUUGAAUUCGGGAGAGGGAUGCGGAAUUCCUGGUGUAGCGGUGAAAUGCGCAGAUAUCAGGAGGAACACCGGUGGCGAAGGCGGGUUCUCUGGGCAUGUCCUGACGCUGAGGAGCGAAAGUGUGGGGAGCGAACAGG
rnacentral:rRNA from 1 species